GACGAACGCUGGCGGCGUGCUUAACACAUGCAAGUCGAACGGAAAGGCCCUGCUUUUGUUGGGUUCUCGAGUGGCGAACGGGUGAGUAACACGUGAGUAACCUGCCCUUGACUUUGGGAUAACUUCAGGAAACUGGGGCUAAUACCGGAUAGGAUCUCCUGCUGCAUGGUGGGGGUUGGAGAGUUUCGGCGGUUGGGGCUGGACUCGCGGCUUAUCAGCUUGUUGGUGGGGUAGUUGCUUACCAAGGCUUUGACGGGUAGCCUGCCUGGGAGGGUGACCGGCCACAUGGGGACUGAGAUACGGCCCAGACGGCUACGGGAGGCAGCAGGGGGGAAUAUUGCACAAUGGGCGGAAGCCUGAUGCAGAAACGCCGCGUGCGGGAUGACGGCCUUCGGGUUGUAAACCGCUUUCGCCUGUGACGAAGCGUGAGUGACGGUAAUGGGUAAAGAAGCACCGGCUAACUACGUG
rnacentral:rRNA from 1 species